rnacentral:rRNA from 1 species
AACAGGAAGCAGCUUGCUGCUUUGCUGACGAGUGGCGGACGGGUGAGUAAUGUCUGGGAAACUGCCUGAUGGAGGGGGAUAACUACUGGAAACGGUGGCUAAUACCGCAUAACGUCGCAAGACCAAAGAGGGGGACCUUCGGGCCUCUUGCCAUCAGAUGUGCCCAGAUGGGAUUAGCUUGUUGGUGAGGUAACGGCUCACCAAGGCGACGAUCCCUAGCUGGUCUGAGAGGAUGACCAGCCACACUGGAACUGAGACACGGUCCAGACUCCUACGGGAGGCAGCAGUGGGGAAUAUUGCACAAUGGGCGCAAGCCUGAUGCAGCCAUGCCGCGUGUAUGAAGAAGGCCUUCGGGUUGUAAAGUACUUUCAGCGGGGAGGAAGGUGUUGUGGUUAAUAACCGCAGCAAUUGACGUUACCCGCAGAAGAAGCACCGGCUAACUCCGUGCCAGCAGCCGCGGUAAUACGGAGGGUGCAAGCGUUAAUCGGAAUUACUGGGCGUAAAGCGCACGCAGGCGGUCUGUCAAGUCGGAUGUGAAAUCCCCGGGCUCAACCUGGGAACUGCAUUCGAAACUGGCAGGCUUGAGUCUUGUAGAGGGGGGUAGAAUUCCAGGUGUAGCGGUGAAAUGCGUAGAGAUCUGGAGGAAUACCGGUGGCGAAGGCGGCCCCCUGGACAAAGACUGACGCUCAGGUGCGAAAGCGUGGGGAGCAAACAGGAUUAGAUACCCUGGUAGUCCACGCCGUAAACGAUGUCUACUUGGAGGUUGUGCCCUUGAGGCGUGGCUUCCGGAGCUAACGCGUUAAGUAGACCGCCUGGGGAGUACGGCCGCAAGGUUAAAACUCAAAUGAAUUGACGGGGGCCCGCACAAGCGGUGGAGCAUGUGGUUUAAUUCGAUGCAACGCGAAGAACCUUACCUGGUCUUGACAUCCACAGAAGAAUCCAGAGAUGGAUUUGUGCCUUCGGGAACUGUGAGACAGGUGCUGCAUGGCUGUCGUCAGCUCGUGUUGUGAAAUGUUGGGUUAAGUCCCGCAACGAGCGCAACCC